GAGCUGUUAUAUUGUGUAUAUAAUAAGAGAAAUCUGAGUCAAAAAAAUAUAGUUCAAGAUCUGGUUCACUCUAUAUUCUUCAUAUUGAUACUAUUAACUCUAAGUGAAGUCAUGAAAGAUACUUUACCUAUUGCAUAGUAUAUAUAUCCAGUAAAAUAUCAUUUCACAUUGUUAAAUUUUAAACUUUAAUUGUUUCAUAAAUUUUUAAGGAGAAUUGUUGGUGUUUUGGAGGGAAUUAAGAAUUCAAAUUUUCUCAAACCAAUUCCAACCAAAUUCUAACUCUUUGUUUUGUUUAGUCCCA
rnacentral:lncRNA from 1 species